rnacentral:snoRNA from 1 species
AUUGACGAUGACUUCUGGUGAUUCUGAGUGUCUCACUGAUGCUAUCACCACAGAAUGCUGAAU